rnacentral:rRNA from 1 species
GACGAACGCUGGCGGCGUGCUUAACACAUGCAAGUCGAACGGUGAACUCCGCUUGCGGGGGGAUCAGUGGCGAACGGGUGAGUAACACGUGGGCAACCUGCCCUCAGCUCUGGGAUAACUCCAAGAAAUUGGGGCUAAUACCGGAUAUGACCGCUGACCGCCUGGUCUGGUGGUGGAAAGAUUUAUCGGCUGGGGAUGGGCCCGCGGCCUAUCAGCUUGUUGGUGGGGUAGUGGCCUACCAAGGCGACGACGGGUAGCCGGCCUGAGAGGGUGACCGGCCACGCUGGGACUGAGACACGGCCCAGACUCCUACGGGAGGCAGCAGUGGGGAAUAUUGCGCAAUGGGCGAAAGCCUGACGCAGCGACGCCGCGUGGGGGAUGACGGCCUUCGGUUUGUAAACCUCUUUCAGCAGGGACGAAGCGAAAGUGACGGUACCUGCAGAAGAAGCACCGGCCAACUACGUG